rnacentral:rRNA from 1 species
UACGUAGGAGGCAAGCGUUGUCCGGAGUUACUGGGCGUAAAGCGUGUGUAGGCGGUACCGUGCGUCUGAUGUGAAAUCUCCUGGCUUACCUGGGAGGGGGCAUUGGAAACGGCGGAACUUGAGGGCGUGAGAGGCGAGUAGAACUCCCGGUGGAACAGUGAAAUGUGUAGAGAUCGGGAAGAAUACCAGUGGUGCAGACGGCUCGCUGGCGCGUACCUGACGCUGAGACACGAAAGCUUGGGGAGCAAACAGG